rnacentral:misc_RNA from 1 species
UAAUAAAUGUUUAUGGCACUUUUUAAAUCCAUAUCCACCUUGUGUGCAAUGUCAGUCGAUCUUCUUCAUGGAGAUCGACCAAACAUCAACCUUUAUCUUUUAACUCUUUGUCUGAAAAAUAUUAUGAAUAAACAAUUCAAAAUA